UACGUAGGGGGCAAGCGUUGUCCGGAAUCAUUGGGCGUAAAGAGCGUGUAGGCGGCCCGGUAAGUCCGCUGUGAAAGUCCAGGGCUCAACCCUGGAAUGCCGGUGGAAACUGUCGGGCUAGAGUCCGGAAGAGGCGAGUGGAAUUCCUGGUGUAGCGGUGAAAUGCGCAGAUAUCAGGAGGAACACCAAUGGCGAAGGCAGCUCGCUGGGACGGUACUGACGCUGAGACGCGAAGGCGUGGGGAGCAAACAGG
rnacentral:rRNA from 1 species